rnacentral:tRNA from 1 species
GGGGCUGUAGCUCAGCGGGAGAGCGCCUCCUUUGCACGGAGGAAGUCGUGGGUUCAAAUCCCACCAGCUCCA